AGCACCACAACGGGUGAGCUUGCGGUUUAAUUGGAUUCAACGCCGGAAAUCUUACCGGGACCGACAGCAAUAUGAAGGCCAGGCUGAAGACUUUGCCGGAUUAGCUGAGAGGUGGCGCAUGGCCGUCGUCAGUUCGUACUGUGAAGCAUCCUGUUAAGUCAGGCAACGAGCGAGACCCACGCCAACAGUUGCCAGCUCGUCCUCCGGGAUGGUGGGGACACUGUUGGGACCGCCUCUGCUAAAGAGGAGGAAGGAAUGGGCAACGGUAGGUCAGCAUGCCCCGAAUUAUCUGGGCUACACGCGGGCUACAAUGGGUGGGACAAUGGGUAUCGACACCGAAAGGUGAAGGCAAUCUCCUAAACCCAUCCGUAGUUCGGAUUGUGGGCUGCAACUCGCCCACAUGAAGCUGGAAUCUGUAGUAAUCGUGUCUCAAAAUGGCACGGUGAAUAUGUCCCUGCUCCUU
rnacentral:rRNA from 1 species